UACAGAGGUGACAAACGUUGUCCGGAAUUAUUGGGCGUAAAGGGCGCGUAGGUGGUUGAGUAAGUCAGGUGUGAAAGCUCUGGGCUUAACCCAGGAAUUGCAUCUGAUACUGCUCGGCUUGAGUACGGUAGAGGAGGGUGGAAUUCCCAGUGUAGCGGUGAAAUGCGUAGAUAUUGGGAGGAACACCGGUGGCGAAGGCGGCCCUCUGGACCGAAACUGACACUGAAGCGCGAAAGCUAGGGGAGCAAACGGG
rnacentral:rRNA from 1 species